ensembl:miRNA
UAUUAAGUUGGUGCAAAAGUGAUUGUGGUUUUUGCCAUUGAAAAUCAUGUCAAAAACCACAAUUACUUUUGCACAAACCUAAUAA